AUGGUCUCACAGUUACAACAAUCACUCUUACAAGAUACAAGGAACCAUUCAUUUCAUUCACUUCUGAAGCAGCUGGUGAUAUUGAUGCAUACUGAUAUGUCACAUGUUCAAAACCUUGAAAGUGCUCUAGAAAGGGAGAAAGAUGAAGUACCGAUAAAAGAGGAUAUCAUCAAGGCAUGGAUAUACCGUCAUGAGCAUAUGAUGAGACUCAUGUAUGAAAGGAGCAUUGGACUGCCGCUGGUUCCACCGUCGGGACUUAGUCAACUUACUCUUUCUUCAUGCAGUAUUACAGAUGAAGCUUUAGCUAUUUGUCUUGAUGGCCUGGCUUCACUGCAAAUAUUGAUCCUUUCAAAGAUUAUGACUUUAACUAAACUUCCUUCAAAAGAGAUCCUCCAACGUUUGACAAAACUUAACUUCUUGCGAGUCGGAUAUUGCUGGUGCCUCUGGUCAUUAGGGGGCUUACGAGUUGUUACCUCUGUUUCAGCUGUUGAAUUGUUUUCCUGCCCUUCUUUAGGGUUGGCACAUGGAGCUGAAUGUUUGCCAUUAUCCCUUGAAAGCCUCACUAUAAAGAAUUGCGUGCUUGCAGCUGACUUCCUCUGUACUGAUUGGCCACAAAUGAAGAAUAUUCACAUAGCCAAUUGCAGAACCACCCCAUGUUUGUCUAUUGAUAGUCUCACCUCUGUUAAAUCACUCUCACUGCUUCACUUGCCAGAUUUAUGUACGCUCGAAGGAUUGCCUUCCCUGCUGCAUCUUUCCAGCGUAGGUUUGAUUGAUGUUCCGAAACUCACCCCCGAGUGUGUCUUACAGUUUCGAGUCCAGCGCACACUUGAUGUUAGCAGUCCAGUAAUACUCAACACCAUGCUCUCGGCUGAUGGUUUUACAGUUACAUCACUCACUCUUAUAGGAUGCAAGGAACCAUUCAUUUUAUUAGAAGAAUCAGCAAAUUUCACAUCUGUCAUGGGCCUGUGUUUCAUUGAUUGUCAAAUGAUUUCCCUGCCAACAAAUCUGAGGUCUUUCUCCAAUCUGAAGACGCUUGACAUCUUUAGGUGCCCAAACAUAUCAUCUUUACCAGAUCUGCCAUCCUCCCUCCAGGAGAUACGUGUAUUGGGUUGUUCUGAGCUAUUGAAUGAGAGCUGCCAAGCACCUGAUGGAGAAAGUUGGCCAAAGAUCGCGCAUAUCCGCCGGAAGCUAUUUGAAUGA
rnacentral:rRNA from 1 species